UAAAGAUAUCAUUAAUACUUGUGGGUUUGACAUAUCAAAGACAUUCAUAUUCUCAAACUUUGAUUAUGUUAAAGGUGCUUUCUAUAAAAACAUGGUCAAGGUUGCCAAGUGUGUCACAUACAACAAGGUUGUUGGCAUAUUUGGAUUCACUGGUGAU